GCAAGUCGAACGAGAAAGUACCUUCGGGUGCGAGUAGAGUGGCGCACGGGUGAGUAACACGUAGGUAAUCUGCCUUUUGGUGGGGGAUAACCAGGAGAAAUCCUGGCUAAUACCGCAUAAGUAAGAAAUUAGAAAGGAUGCUCCGGCAUUCGCCGAAAGAUGAGCCUGCGGAACAUUAGCUUGAUGGUGGGGUAAUGGCCUACCAAGACGAUGAUGCAUAGCCGACCUGAGAGGGUGAUC
rnacentral:rRNA from 1 species